ACGGAAUAGAUACCCAGGUAGUCCACGCCCUAAACGAUGUCUACUAGUUGUUGGGAGAGUAAAAUCUCUUAGUAAACGCAGCUAAACGCGUGAAGUAGACCGCCUGGGGAGUACGGUCGCAAGAUUAAAACUCAAAGGAAUUGACGGGGCCCGGCACAAGCGGUGGAUUAUGUGGAUUAAUUACGAUGCAACGACGAAAAACCUUAACCUUGGCCGUUGUACAUGCUACUAACGAAGCAGAGAUGCAUUAGGUUGCCCGAAACGGGAAAGUAGACACAGGUGCUGCAUGGCUGUCGUCAGCUCGUGUCGUGAGAUGUUGGGUUAAGUCCCGCAACGAGCGCAACCCUUGCCAACUAAUUGCCAUCAUUUAG
rnacentral:rRNA from 1 species